rnacentral:tRNA from 3 species
GGUCGAGUCGUAUAACGGUUAGUACAGUCGCUUCACACGCGACAGACCCGGGUUCGACUCCCGGCUCGACUA